GUCCUCUUGAUUUUGUGAGAGGUUUGGCCUGCCCGGUGAUUUUUUAACGGCUGCGGUAUUCUGACCGUACAAAGGUAGCAUAAUCAUUAGUCUUUUAAUAGGAGGCUGGAAUGAAGGGUUUGACGAGGGAAUAACUGUCUCAUUUAAAUAAAUUAAAAUUUAACUUUUAAGUUAAAAGGCUUAAAUAUUGUUGGAAGACGAGAAGACCCUAUAGAGCUUUACGUUUAGUAUUUUUUGUUUUUUUUUGUUUAUAAAUAAAAAUUAUUUAUAUAAAUGUUUUGUUGGGGUGACAAAAAUACUUAAUUAACUUUUUUAUUUAUUUUACAUUAAUUUAUGUUUAUUGGAUCCAUUAUUAUUGAUUAUUAGAAAAAGUUACCUUAGGGAUAACAGCGUAAUCCUCUUUUGGAGUUCAAAUUUACAAGGGGGCUUGCGACCUCGAUGUUGGAUUAAGAUAAUAGUUAGGUGUAGUAGCUUGGUGUAUAGGUCUGUUCGACCUUUAAAUUCUUACAUGAUCUGAGUUCAGACCGG
rnacentral:rRNA from 1 species